UACGUAGGGUGCGAGCGUUGUCCGGAAUUAUUGGGCGUAAAGAGCUUGUAGGCGGUUUGUCGCGUCUGCUGUGAAAAUCCGAGGCUCAACCUCGGACUUGCAGUGGGUACGGGCAGACUAGAGUGUGGUAGGGGAGACUGGAAUUCCUGGUGUAGCGGUGGAAUGCGCAGAGUAUCAGGAGGAACACCGAUGGCGAAGGCAGGUCUCUGGGCCAUUACUGACACUGAGAAGCGAAAGCAUGGGGAGCGAACGGG
rnacentral:rRNA from 1 species